AAAAUUGAGUUAGACAAGUUAAGUAACUGCUCAAAGCUUUAUAUACACUAAAUAUCAGAAUUAGGCUUUAUCUCAGAACUCUUUGACUCCAAGAUACAGGAAAUUAAGAACUAUUAUACUUUCUCUAUUUCUAAAUGUAAUACAAUUCACACAUUUUAAAUAUCUUAAGUGUCAAUAUCUGCCUUACAUUAAAACAAACUACAUCAGAGAAAGUUUAUUGUCUUUUUAAGUAUUAUUUGGAAAAAAAUCUUAACUAUGUACAUAUAUUUAAAACUACUUAGAAUAUAUUUUCAACAAUAGAAAAUCAAAUGAAGUAUCAAUGCUGUGGUCCGAAUAUCUGUGUCCUCUUCAGAUUUUUAUGUUGCAAUCUUAACCUUAAGUUAAUGGCAUUAAGAGGUAAGUCCUGUGGGAAGUGAUACACUGAUGGGGACAUCCCAUUAAGUAACCAAUGGGCUAAGGGAGCUCAUUUGCCAUUUCUACAGUGUGAGAAUGCAGCAACAAGAUGCCAACUAUGAAGCAAAGAGCCCUUAUCAGACAAUGAAUCUACUGACACCUUGAUCUUGGACUCUUCAGCUUCCCAAACUGGUUACCAACUAUAUCACAUAAUGGUCCUAAGGAUUAAAUGAAAAAAAAAUGCAGUAAGCCAUGGUCCAGGCUUGAGGGUGGAGCCCUCACGAGAGACCUCACCAUUUUCUACGUAGUAUUUCCCUGUCUCCUGUCUAUAUCACAAAGCAUUAAAUUGAAGCCAAGGGACUGAAAUAAGAAACUCCAGAGAACAACAAGAGGAAUUGAAAUUGCAUGGUCAUUAGAAGGCAUCUUAAGAAUAACCGUGUAGCAGAGAAUGAGGACUCAUAUCAAAGUCUGAUUCUUUUAGUAUUGGAUUUUAUGUAAGUAAAAUUUUUAGUAUACUCAAACAAAUAUUAUCAUCAAUAUAUUAAUGUUCAUAUUUACAUUUUCAUCAUGAUGCAGACAAUGAAAACACUAAACAGACUAUUUGCUAAUGCUGAAAAUCUUUAGGAUUUAGAUAAGAGUUAUAUUAUACAUAAAAUAAAAAUAUUAUAAACUAAGCAUAACUGAAAUGUGCUUUUAAGACCUUGGUUUUGUUUAAAUCUAAAAAUCAAAUACAAAUGGAAUAUAAAGUUCAGUGUGUAACUAUGACAAAAAAUAUUUUGAGUUUAGGAAAUAAGCUGUAGUAUCUGGAAUUUCAAGAGAUAUAUAUAAUACUUUAUGAGAAAGAGUACUUUAAAGGUCAAAAGAAGGGAAAAUAACAAUAAUUUGAAGCUCAAUAAAUGAAUUCAAAUCCA
rnacentral:lncRNA from 1 species